rnacentral:rRNA from 1 species
ACGGCGAGUGAAGCGGCAACAGCUCAAAUUUGAAAUCUGGCUCCUUCGGGGUCCGAGUUGUAAUUUGUAGAGAGUGCUUCGGGUGAGACCACGGUCUAAGUCUAUUGGAACAUUACGUCAUAGAGGGUGAGAACCCCGUAUGUGACUGUGGCUCGUGCCCAUGUGAAGCCUCUUCGACGAGUCGAGUUGUUUGGGAAUGCAGCUCAAAAUGGGAGGUAAAUUUCUUCUAAAGCUAAAUACUGGCCGGAGACCGAUAGCGCACAAGUAGAGUGAUCGAAAGAUGAAAAGCACUUUGGAAAGAGAGUCAAACAGUACGUGAAAUUGUUGAAAGGGAAGCGCUGGCAACCAGACYUGUCCGUAGACGAUCAGCCGCUGUUCUCWGUGGUGCACUCGUUCUGCGAUCAGGCCAGCAUCGRUUUCGGCGGUCGGAUAAAGGCCUGGGGAACGUANCUCUCCUUCGGRGGAGUGUUAUAGCCCMGGGCGCAAUGCGGCCAGCCGGGACCGASGACCGCGCUUCGGSUAGGAUGCUGGAGUAAUGGUUGUCAGCGACCCGUCWUGAAACACGGMCCAAGGAGUCUAACAUCUAUGCGAGUGUUUGGGUGUCAAACCCAUGCGCGGAAUGAAAGUGAACGGAGGUGAGAWCCCUUUAGGGCGCAUCAUCGACCGAUCCWGAUGUCUUCGGACGGAUUUGAGUAUGAGCAUAGCUGUUGGGACCCGAAAGAUGGUGAACUAUGCCUGAAUAGGGUGAAGCCAGAGGAAACUUAGGGGGAGGUUUGCAGCUGUGCCAGGCAAAUCAAUCGUCAAAUUUGGGUAUAGGGG